rnacentral:rRNA from 1 species
UUGGCGGCCUUCCACCUCCUCAGAGGAACUCGUAUUUUCAUCCGAUAAUCCGCGCUAAAUCUAACUUAGUUUCCAAAGUCUUUAUAUCGCCGUCUAAAGAUUCAAUUCUAACAUUCAAUCCAAAAGGACUAUCAUCUACGUCAGGUCGAGAUAAAGCCUAUACCUAAGCGAUCCGAGUUACACAUAUUCAUUACAUAAACAUUCUUAUUCAAAACCAAGAACAUUCAGGAUUUGAAAGUAACUUUCCGACAUUACCACAAAGUGAAUUUGUCCACAAGGCGUACAUAUCGCCCGUCACCCUCGUCCAAAGAUGAGGUAAGUCGUAACAAAGUUAAUGUACUGGAAAGUGCAUUAAGGG